CCCAAGGGCGCCAACUUCUCAGCCUCGGCCAAAAAGAAUCGUCCUCCUAAUGACUUAGAGUCACAACUCGAAGCGGUGAAGGCCCAUAUUGAAGAUCUUCAGGUUGUGAUCGCUCGAGUUAAAAGAUCGGAAGAGGCUCAAGGGUACAUGAGUCCAUUGGUUACAAAUUCGGAGCUAAGAUUGGAUUACUGAGAAUUGUCUGAACCCACAACACCGUGUCUCGACCAACAACGGCAUUCAGAUUUUAUUGUCGCUAUUGGCUUCUCGAUUGUACAAUGUUACAUUGAAUUAACUUGAUAUUUCACCUGUAUGGAACCUGACAAUUUACUGCCUUUCCUUCA